UGCUAGAAUUGUUUUGGCUGCUCUGCCAUUGGCUGAUAGUUGUGCGGAUGUGUUGGAUGGUUCCAUGUGCCCCCUGUACUGGAAGUGUAUAAGCCAGACAGAAUCAAACCUAGUGUCUUACGACGAACAGGAUGAUGAACAGGGAAGAUGCCUGCAAGGACGUGUAAAUGAGGGGCUGGUAGAGGGAGAGCUCGCUGUAGAGAAGGGUGCUUUCUCUUCAUCCUCCAUCCCGCCCCGCCCUGCCUCUCACUCUCUUGUCCUCUCACCCCGUCUCUCCCCCCUCGCAACUUCACAGCGAAGACACCAGACCAGUUUUUACCCAGAAAAACAUCCAAACUUCUCACCUCUACUUCAGCUGGAAGGUGACAGCUAAAUGGAUGCCAGCGGAUGACAGAGACGGGAUAGGAGGGGCCUUCUGACAUGUGGGGCGCACCCUGAACAGGAAGAGGAAGCUGAGGAAGCUUCUGGAAUGCACCUGGGGUAGGGACCAAACCUUGUCUUUCAUCAGUCAACCUUACAUACUCCAGUACUGAUAAUCUGUCCU
ensembl:lncRNA